rfam:Glycine soja cultivar W05 scaffold704_16, whole genome shotgun sequence.
GACUUAUUAGUUCAGUUGAUUAGAACGUUGUGCUAAUAACCUGAUAGCCACAGGUUUGAUUCUUGUUUGGGUCA